UACGGAGGGCGCAAGCGUUGCUCGGAAUUAUUGGGCGUAAAGGGCAGGUAGGUGGUCUUAUUUGUCUUGUGUGAAAUCCUUGGGCUUAACUCAAGAAGUGCGCAAGAAACGGUAAGACUAGAGUCCUAGAGAGGCUAGUGGAAUUCCCGGUGUAGCGGUGAAAUGCGUAGAGAUCGGGAAGAACAUCGGUGGCGAAAGCGCUCUACUGGACCGCAACUGACACUCAGGGACGAAAGCUAGGGGAGCGAAUGGG
rnacentral:rRNA from 1 species